rnacentral:rRNA from 1 species
GAUGAACGCUGGCGGCGUGCUUAACACAUGCAAGUCGAACGGAAAGGCCCAAGCUUGCUUGGGUACUCGAGUGGCGAACGGGUGAGUAACACGUGGGUGAUCUGCCCUGCACUUCGGGAUAAGCCUGGGAAACUGGGUCUAAUACCGGAUAGGACCACUUCUUGGAUGUUGUGGUGGAAAGUUUUUUCGGUGUGGGAUGAGCUCGCGGCCUAUCAGCUUGUUGGUGGGGUAAUGGCCUACCAAGGCGUUGACGGGUAGCCGGCCUGAGAGGGUGUACGGCCACAUUGGGACUGAGAGACGGCCCAGACUCCUACGGGAGGCAGCAGUGGGGAAUAUUGCACAAGGGGCGCAAGCCUAAUGCAGCGACGCCGCGUGGGGGAUGACGGCCUUCGGGUUGUAAACUACAUUCGCUAGGGACGAAGCGUUUUGUGACGGUACCUGGAGAAGAAGCACCGGCUAACUACGUG